rnacentral:rRNA from 1 species
AUGAACGCUAGCGGCAGGCCUAAUACAUGCAAGUCGAACGGUAACAGUUCUUUCGGGAAGCUGACGAGUGGCGCACGGGUGCGUAACGCGUAUGCAACUACCAUUACAGGGGAUAGCCCGGGAAACUCGGAUUAAUACCCCAUAGUAUUACAGAUUGGCAUCAUGAAGUAAUUAAAGAUUUAUUGGUAAUGGAUGGGCAUGCGUCUGAUUAGUUAGUUGGAGAGGUAACGGCUCACCAAGACGAUGAUCAGUAGGGGUUCUGAGAGGAUGAUCCCCCACACUGGUACUGAGAUACGGACCAGACUCCUACGGGAGGCAGCAGUAGGGAAUAUUGGUCAAUGGGCGAGAGCCUGAACCAGCCAUGCCGCGUGCAGGAUGACGGCCUUCUGGGUUGUAAACUGCUUUUAUAUAGGAAGAAAUAGUUCAUGCGUGAACAGUUGACGGUACUAUAUGAAUAAGCACCGGCUAACUCCGUG